GCGGGCGUGGCGGAACUGGCAGACGCGCUAGAUUUAGGUUCUAGUGUCUUAGGACGUGGGGGUUCGAAUCCCUUCGCCCGCA
rnacentral:tRNA from 2 species